GGCCGCGGGAAUUCGAUUGGAUCGCCCUUAGAGUUUGAUCAUGGCUCAGGAUGAAUGCUGGCGGUGUGCCUUAAGCAUGCAAGUCGAACGGUAAAUUCCCUUCGGGGAAUACGAGUGGCAGACGGGUGAGUAAUACGUAGGAACUUACCUUCAAGUGGGGAAUAGCUCAUCGAAAGAUGGGGUAAUGCCGCAUAUGGUCGCAAGAUCAAAGUCGCAAGACGCUUGAAGAGAGGCCUGCGCCCUAUCAGGUAGUUGGUGAGGUAAUGGCUCACCAAGCCAAUGACGGGUAGCCGGUGUGAGAGCAUGACCGGCCACAAGGUAACUGAGACACGGUGCCUACACCUACGGGUGGCAGCAACUGGGAAUAUUGCGCAAUGGACGAAAGUCUGACGCAGCGACACCGCGUGUGGGAAGAAGCUUUUCGGAGUGUAAACCACUGUGGCAGGGGAACAAAUUUUGAGCGUACCCUGCUAGAAAGCACCUGCUAACUACGUGCCAGAAGCCUCGGUAAUACGUAGGGUGCAAGCAUUAUCCGGAUUUACUGGGCGUAAAGCGUUCCGUCGGCGGUUUAUCAAGUUUCAUCUUUAAUACUGGGGCUCAACCCCAGAUACAGGAUGGAAAACUAGUAGACUAGAGUUUACUAUGGGGAGCUGGAAUUCUCGGUGGAGGGGUGAAAUCCGUAGAUAUCGAGAGGAACACCAUUCGCGAAGGCGAGCUCCUAGGGUAACACUGACGCUCAGGGACGAAAGCUUGGGUAGCAAAAGGG
rnacentral:rRNA from 1 species